rnacentral:tRNA from 1 species
GCGGCUAUAGUUUAGUGGUAAAACGACGGGUUGUGGUCCCGUAAUCGAGGGUUCAAUUCCCUCUAGCCGCCCA